CGCCGCGUCAUCUCCCUAACCAUAUUCUCCGCUCAGAUCUCCGGUCAGAUCCCUCCUGAAGUCGGUGACUUACCGUAUCUUCAGAAGCUUGUCUUCCGCAAAAUCACUAACCUCACCGGUCAGAUACCACACACCAUCACCAAGCUCAAGUAUCUCCGUUUUCUCAGGCUUAGCUGGACGAACCUUACCGGCCCGGUUCCUGAGUUUUUGAGUCAGCUCAUGGAUCUUGCCUACUUAAACCUUUCCUUCAAUUAUUUUUCUGGUUCCAUACCUAGCUCUCUCUCCUUGUUACCUAAACUUUCGUACGUUGAUCUUAGUCGGAAUAAGCUUACAGGUGAAUAAAUAUUUUAUCUCUAUUAAAAACUGAUUAUUAAAAAAAUUGAUUAUUAAUUAAACUGCUAUUUAUCUAACCACAACCUUUUAAUUUUCACUUAGGUACAAUACCAGAGUCAUUUGGAUCGUUUUCAGGAGAAGUCCCUGACCUUUUCCUAUCACAUAACCAGCUCUCCGGUUCUAUACCUAAAUCACUAGGCAACCUGGAUUUUAACCGGAUCGAUUUCUCAAGGAACAGGUUCAUAGGCGAUGCUUCGAUGUUGUUUGGAGCCAAUAAAACGACAUUUUCUAUUGAUUUAUCAAGAAACAUGUUCCAGUUCGAUCUCUCCCGUGUUGAGAUCCCUAAGACAUUUGGUAUCUUAGACUUGAAUCACAAUGGGAUCACAGGGAGUAUCCCGGUUCAGUGGACUGAAACUCCUUUCCAAAUCUUCAAUGUUAGCUACAACAGAUUGUGUGGACGCAUCCCCACUGGAGGGAAACUGCAGAUGUUUGAUUCUUAUGCAUAUUUUCACAAUAAGUGUUUAUGUGGUGCACCACUUGAUAGUUGCAAGUAAAGAUUCAAGCAGCCAAGCGUAUUACUAUUCUACUUUACCAAAAUAAUCCAAUAAGUCUAUAGACAACUGUAUGUUUUAUUUGGAUUGACUGAUUAAAAAAUCAACCAAACUUGCUUCAAAAUAUUUGUAAUACAAUCUUCCAGUUUGAAUCACAAUCAGCAUGUUAGACACAUUUAAAUGAAGAUCAAUCGCAAAGGUUCUUGUUAAUUAGAGGUUGUUGUAAAUAUCCUUUUUUUUUUUUUUGUAACACGAACUUAUAUUAAAAGUUCAAUGAGCAUAAAAGUCUACAACUGAAACAGAGGAUCCCAGAGCAUGCUCAAACGGUACAACGAAAAUAGAAAGCAUUACUAAACAUGGAAAGAUAUACCCUAUAAGAGGCGAGUCAAGCUCAACAAGAUGAAGAACCCCAUGGAGAAACUUCACCUUAAUCUCUAAGGCGAUUGUUCGACAUAACAAUUGAUAGUCGAAGACGACGUUGAAACACCAAUAAGAAGUGGAUGGACUGUUGACCAGCAAGAGCUUUUGGUGAGAAGCUCUAAAACCAUAGGCAACACCAAGAAAAUGAAGCCCUAUCUGACUUGAUUUGAAAAUGAAGCAAGCGCGAUCAGUUCUAAACUCAACAAAGCUUAUCAACGAGACUAGGUGAAUCUCAAAUGCUAGUUUAGCCUUCAUACGGACGUUUAGGACAAUGGAGUUGGAUGACGGAUUGAACGGUUUGAUCGGGUCAAAAUCUUAGACCUCAACAUUACCGUGUUGAAGCCAAUAACUUGUAACCAGAAUAGACCUGAGCAUGUAGUCAUCGCACUCGUUCUGCUUGAGCGUGUUGUUGUAAAUAUCCAUUAUCCACUUUUACGGCCAAACUUGUUGGUAUUCCGUUUCCGUUCGACAAUGGCAUAAAACAUUAAAUCAUAACCAUGUAGUAUAUAUGCAUGAUUUGACCAAGUGUAUAUAUCUGAAUCCGAAUGCUGACGUGUCAAUAAUAUUAUAUUACUAUAAACCACUAGACUAAGCUUGAUUAAAAGUUCUAGAUGUCGUUGUGUCGACCCCUAGACUAUACCCGUUAAUUGGUAAUUAUCUUAUUAUUAUUUAGUACUAAAAAGACAGUAGUAUAUUUUAGUAUAUAUUUUUUGAAUGAAUGUAAGACAAUAUUCAAACAAAAAUACUGGGUAACGUGCUUCUGUUUCCGAAAGGUGUUUUUAACUUCUAAAUAGAGAAAGAAUGAAGAAGAAAAGAAUGUAAAGAAUUAAUGAUUUAGGUGCCUAUUCUUGAGCCAAACCUUAUUGCUAUCCCAUCUGCAUAUGUUCUGUUUCCUUCUGUUUCUGAUAGUCCUACAGAUGCGUUUCUAGUUUGAUAGGUGGAGAAGGAGCUCCAUGCUUCUGACUGUUUCUCUCACGCCAGAUGUUAUAUACAUGUGCUCAGAGGCGUGCCUACAGUGUAUUGAAAAAGGCAUUCGCUUUCCCUAAAUAAUAUUACGUUUUCUAGGGCCCCAAAAUUUAAAAUAAUUUCUAGUUAAGUUGCUUAAACUUAUUUUUUUUUUAAAAACUAUCCACGAGAAUCGAAUAACUCAAUUUCUAAAUCCAUAUACAUUUUUUAUAGGACAUAAUAUAGCAUAUUUACGUAAUAAGUGUUAAACUUAUGUAUUUCGCGAAUGUGAUAUAUCAUAUUAAAAAAUUGUUUUUUUUAUAGUUGUAUAUAAAUUUAUUUUUAAAACUUGACUUAGGCUCCUGAAAUCCUUCGCACGGCACUGCAUGUGCUUUUCUAGUCAUAUUUUAGUGUCAUGAAAUAGUUUAGAUGCUAUUUUCUUAUUGGUGCAUCUCAUUUUUCAAAUCCUGUUUUGAAUUAUAUAAUUUUUUUUCUGAAAAGAUCAAAAUAGAAGCCUUGGUUGAGAAAGUAGUAGUACUCAAGUGGCACAUGUUGACUCCCAGCAUUUUGACACCAGCCAACCAUAUUCUCCACCGACAUCUUAUCACACCUAUUGACUAUUAAGGUUUUUCUAUCAAAUCAAAUAUCUAAUCUCGAUAGUGUAUAUAUCAUCAUCACACUUUCAACAAAAAUAUUCAAAACCAAACACCAUACAACAUGGAUCAUAAGACAAAUACGACACUGCUUUUCUCGCUCUUGUUUUUCAUUACACACCUCAGCAACGCGUUAUCAAAAGAUCUAUGUAACGAAAACGACAAAAACACCCUCCUCAAGAUCAAGAAGUCCCUAAACAACCCUUACCACCUCGCCUCGUGGCACCCCGAAACCGACUGCUGCUCCUGGUACUGCCUCGAAUGCGGCGACGCCACCGUUAACCACCGCGUCAUCUCCCUAACCAUAUUCGCCGGUCAGAUAUCCGGUCAGAUCCCGCCUGAAGUCGGUGACUUACCGUAUCUUCAGAAGCUUGUCUUCCGCAAACUCACUAACCUCACCGGUCAGAUCCCACACAGCAUCACCAAGCUCAAGUAUCUCACGUUUCUAUGGCUUAGCUGGACGAACCUCACCGGCCCGGUUCCUGAUUUUCUUAGUCAGCUCGUGAAUCUUGACUACUUAAACCUUUCGUUCAAUGAGCUUUCUGGUUCAGUACCUAGCUCUCUCUCCCUGUUACCUAAACUUACGUACAUUGAUCUUAGUAGGAAUAAGCUUACAGGUGAAUAACUCUUUUAUGUAUAAAAAAACGAUUAUAAAAAAUAAACUGUUUAUUACAUUGUUAUUUUUCUAUUCACAACGUUUUAACUUUCACUUAGGUACAAUACCAGAGUCAUUUGGAUCGUUUCCAGGAGAAGUUCCUUACCUUAUCUUAUCACACAACCAGCUCUCCGGUUCUAUACCCAAAUCACUAGGCAACCUUGAUUUUAACCGGAUAGAUUUCUCAAGGAACAAGCUCACAGGCGAUGCUUCGAUGUUGUUUGGAGCCAACAAAACGACGUUUUCCAUUGACUUAUCAAGAAACAUGUUCCAGUUUGAUCUGUCCAGAGUUGUGCUCCCUCAGUCACUUGGUGUACUGGAUUUGAACCACAAUGGGAUCACAGGGAGUAUUCCGGUUCAGUGGACUGAAUAUUCUCUCCAACUCUUAAACGUUAGCUAUAACAGACUGUGUGGACCCAUCCCCACUGGAGGCAGUCUUCAGAGAUUUGAUUCUUAUAUAUAUUUUCACAACAAGUGUUUGUGUGGUGCACCUCUUGAUAGUUGCAAGUAAUAAACCAAGCUUAUCUCUAGUUUUCCCAAAAAAAAAAAUGUAAUAUCAUCCAGAUUGAUUAAAUAAAACAUGUAUCACAACUUGUAUUUUGAUGAGUUCUUAGAACAUUUUUAAAGUGAAAAUGAAGGUAGAGCUUACCACAAAUAGAGGAAGAAUAAGGACGAAUACUUAUCCUCUAUUUUCACUUAUAAGAGCAUGAUUAAUGGAGAGUUCUUAGGGUGAGGUUCUUAGCGGAAUAUAAAAAACCGUUUCUUGUUCUUAGCGGAAUAUAAAAAACCGUUUCUUAACUUUUAACUAAAAAAACUAAGAACCUUAUUUAACAUCUAGAGCUUCCGUGUCCGAAAGGUGUUUUUAACUUCUAAAUAGAGAAAGAAUAAAGAAGAAAAGAAUGUAAAGAAUGAUUUAGGUGCUUAUCCUUGAGCCAAACCAUAUUGCUAUCCCAUCUGCAUAUGUUCUGUUUCUGAUAGUCCUAUAGAUGCUUUUCUAGUUUGAUAGGUGGAGAAGGAUCAGCUCCAUGCUUUUUCUCUCACGCCAGAUGUUAUUUCAUGUCAGAUGCUUUUCUAGUCAUAUUUUAGUUUCAUGAAAUACAUUUAGAUGCUAUUUUCUUUUUGGUGCAUCUCAUUUUUCAAAUCCUGUUUUAAAUUAUAUAAAUUUUCUCAUUUCGAAAAUAAAACUAUUUGUGGAAACUGUUUUAAAAUUGUAUCAAAAGCAAAUUUCAUAUAUUGAAGCUUAAAAGUGCUUCGUGUAAGAUUAUAAACCCAAACAUUUAUAUACAUAUGAAUUUUUUUUUUUUAAUCAGAAAAUAGAAGCCGUGGCUGAGAGAGUAGUAGUACUCAAGUGGCACAUGUUGACUGCCAGCAUGUUGGCACCAGCCAACCAUAUUCAACACCGACAUCUUAAUCACACGUAUUGACUGACUAUUAAGGUUUCUAUCAAAUCAAAUAUCUAAUCUCGAUAGUGUUUAUAUCAUCGUCACACUUUCAACAAAAAAAAUAUUCAAAACCAAACACCAUACAACAUGGAUCAUAAGACAAACACGACACUGCUUUUCUCGCUCUUGUUUUUCAUCACGUACCUCAUCACCAUCGCGACAUCGAAAGAUCUAUGUAACCAAAACGACAAAAACACCCUCCUUAAAAUCAAGAAGUCCCUAAACAACCCUUACCACCUCGCCUCGUGGCACCCCGAAACCGACUGCUGCUCCUGGUACUGCCUCGAAUGCGGCGACGCCACAGUUAACCACCGCGUCAUCUCCCUAACCAUAUUCGCCGGUCAGAUAUCCGGUCAGAUCCCGCCUGAAGUCGGUGACUUACCGUAUCUUCAGAGUCUUAUGUUCCACAGGAUCACUAACAUCACCGGUCAGAUCCCAUCCACCAUCACCAAGCUUAAGUAUCUCCGUUCUCUCAGGCUUAGCUGGUUGAACCUCACCGGCCCGGUUCCUGAGUUUCUGAGUCAGCUCAUGAAUCUUGAAUACUUAAGCCUUUCCUUCAAUCAGCUCUCUGGUUCCAUACCUAGCUCUCUCGCUUUGUUACCUAAACUUUCUUACGUUGAUCUUAGUAGGAAUAAGCUUACAGGUACAAUAAGUACUCUCUUUGAUUCUAUUAUUUCUUUGGUGUAACUUUGAUUAUAUUUAUUCAUUGAUUUAAAUAUGAUUUGUUUUGAACUUUUUAAAAUAUGAUUAUUAACUGUACUUUUUUUUCUUCAAAUAUAACUUUCAUGCUUAGGUACAAUACCAGAGUCAUUUGGAUCGUUUCCAGCAGAACUU
rnacentral:lncRNA from 1 species